rnacentral:rRNA from 1 species
UACGGAAGGCAGCAGUGGGGAAUAUUGCACAAUGGGCGCAAGCCUGAUGCAGCCAUGCCGCGUGUAUGAAGAAGGCCUUCGGGUUGUAAAGUACUUUCAGUCGUGAGGAAGGUGUUAAGGUUAAUAACCUUAGCAAUUGACGUUAGCGACAGAAGAAGCACCGGCUAACUCCGUGCCAGCAGCCGCGGUAAUACGGAGGGUGCGAGCGUUAAUCGGAAUUACUGGGCGUAAAGGGCACGCAGGCGGUUAAUUAAGUUGGAUGUGAAAUCCCCGGGCUUAACCUGGGAAUGGCAUUCAAGACUGGUUAGCUAGAGUCUUGUAGAGGGGGUAGAAUUCCAUGUGUAGCGGUGAAAUGCGUAGAGAUGUGGAGGAAUACCGGUGGCGAAGGCGGCCCCUGGACAAAAGACUGACGCUCAUGUGCGAAAGCGUGGGGGAGCAAAACAGGGAUUAGAUACC